GGUUGAUCCCGCCGGAGGACAUUGCUAUUGGGAUUCGAUUUAGCCAUGCUAGUUGUACGAACUUAGAUUCGUAGCAGAUAGCUCAGUAACACGUGGCCAAGCUACCCUUCAGCCCACAAUACCCUCGGGAAACUGAGACUAAUGGUGGAUACGGUACGCNNGCUGGAAUGCAGCGUACUCCAAACGCUCCGGCGCUGAAGGAUGCGGCUGCGGCCGAUUAGGUAGACGGUGGGGUAACGGCCCACCGUGCCAAUAAUUGGUACGGGUGAUGAGAGUCAGAGCCCGGAGACGGAAUCUGAGACAAGAUUCCGGGCCCUACGGGGCGCAGCAGGCGCGAAACCUUUACACUNCACGGAAGUGCGAUAGGGGAAUCCCAAGUGCGAGGGCAUAUUAGCCCUCGCUUUUGUUGACUGUAAGGAGGUCAACGAAUAAGAGCUGGGCAAGACCGGUGCCAGCCGCCGCGGUAAUACCGGCAGCUCGAGUGAUGUCCAAUUUUAUUGGGCCUAAAGCGUCCGUAGCUGGCCAGCCAAGUUCGUCGGGAAAUCCACCUGCCCAACAGGUGGGCGUCCGGCGAAAACUGUCUGGCUUGGAACCGGAAGGCUCAGAGGGUACGUCUGGGGUAGGAGUGAAAUCCUGUAAUCCCAGACGGACCACCGAUGGCGAAAGCACUCUGAGAGGACGGAUUCGACAGUGAGGGACGAAAGCUAGGGUCUCGAACCGGAUUAGAUACCCGGGUAGUCCUAGCUGUAAACGAUGCUCGUUAGAUGUGGCACCCACUACGAGUGGGUGCUGUGUCGUANGGAANCCGCUAAACNAGCCGCCUGGGAAGUACGUCCGCAAGGAUGAAACUUUAAAGGAAUUGGCGGGGGAGCACUACAACCGGAGGAGCCUGCGGUUUAAUUGGA
rnacentral:rRNA from 1 species